rnacentral:misc_RNA from 1 species
AACGCAUAUUGCGCUCUUUGGUAUUCCGAAGAGCAUGCUUGUUUGAGUAUCAGUAAACACCUCAAAACUCUUUUUUAUUUUUUGAAAAACAGUUUUGGACUUGAGCAAUCCCAACACCAAUCUUUUUUAGAUCAGUGGCGGGUUGCUUGAAAUGCAGGUGCAGCUGGACAUUCUCCUGAGCUAAAAGCAUAUUUAUUUAGUCCCGUCAAACGGAUUAUUACUUUUGCUGCAGCUAAUAUAAAGGGAGUUUGACCGUUUUGGCUGACUGAUGCAGGAUUUCACAAGGGUCGGCAACGAUUCUUGUAAAACUCGAUCUCAAAUCAAGUAAGACUACCCGCUGAACUUAA